AUUGAACGCUGGCGGAAUGCUUUACACUUGCAAGUCGAACGGUAGAGGGGGCAACCCCUCGAGAGUGGCGAACGGGUGAGUAAUAUAUCGGAACGUGCCCAGUCGUGGGGGAUAACGUAGCGAAAGUUACGCUAAUACCGCAUACGAUCUAAGGAUGAAAGCGGGGGAUCGCAAGACCUCGCGCGAUUGGAGCGGCCGAUAUCAGAUUAGGUAGUUGGUGGGGUAAAGGCUCACCAAGCCAACGAUCUGUAGCUGGUCUGAGAGGACGACCAGCCACACUGGAACUGAGACACGGUCCAGACUCCUACGGGAGGCAGCAGUGGGGAAUUUUGGACAAUGGACGCAAGUCUGAUCCAGCCAUUCCGCGUGCAGGAUGAAGGCCCUCGGGUUGUAAACUGCUUUUGUACGGAACGAAAAGGUCUCUCUUAAUACGGGGGACUCAUGACGGUACCGUAAGAAUAAGCACCGGCUAACUACAUGCCAGCCGCCGCGGUAA
rnacentral:rRNA from 1 species